UUCGGAUUGAAGGCUGAAAUUCGCCUUCCAUGAAGCUGGAAUUGCUGUAAUGGCAGGUCAGCAUACUGCCGUGAAUACGUUCCCGGGCCCUUGUACACACCGCCCGUCACACCAUGAGAGUUGGGAAUACCCGAAGCCUGUGAGCUAACAUAUGAGGCAGCAGUCGAAGGUAGAAUCAAUGAUUGGGGUGAAGUCGUAACAAGGUACC
rnacentral:rRNA from 1 species